rnacentral:rRNA from 1 species
AGGACGAACGCUGGCGGCGUGCUUAACACAUGCAAGUCGAGGGCACUUUGGGGGCAACUCUGGAGUGACCGGCGAACGGGUGCGUAACACGUGAGCGACCUUGCCUCGUGGUGGGGGAUAGCCGGCCCAACGGCCGGGUAAUACCGCAUAUGGUAGUUUCUUCGCAUGGGGAGACUAGCAAAGCCUUGGAGCAAUCCAAUGGCGCCACAGGGGGGGCUCGCGGCCUAUCAGCUAGUUGGGGGGUAAUGGCCCACCAAGGCGACGACGGGUAGC